rnacentral:rRNA from 1 species
AUUGAACGCUGGCGGCAGGCCUAACACAUGCAAGUCGAGCGAGUGGCGGACGGGUGAGUCAUGUCUGGGAAACUGCCCGAUGGAGGGGGAUAACUACUGGAAACGGUAGCUAAUACCGCAUACCAUCGGAUGUGCCCAGAUGGGAUUAGCUAGUAGGUGGGGUAACGGCUCACCAAGGCGACGAUCCCUAGCUGGUCUGAGAGGAUGACCAGCCACACUGGAACUGAGACACGGUCCAGACUCCUACGGGAGGCAGCAGUGGGGAAUAUUGCACAAUGGGCGCAAGCCUGAGACAGCCAUGCCGCGUGUAUGAAGAAGGCCUUCGGGUUGUAAAGUACUGUCAGCGAGGAGGCGUUACUCGCAGAAGAAGCACCGGCUAACUCCGUGCCAGCAGCCGCGGUAAUAC